rnacentral:rRNA from 2 species
GCGAGUGAAGCGGCAACAGCUCAAAUUUGAAAGCUGGCUUAGGCCCGCAUUGUAAUUUGCAGAGGAUGCUUCUGGCGAGGUGCCUUCCGAGUUCCCUGGAACGGGACGCCAUAGAGGGUGAGAGCCCCGUAUGGAUGGACACCAAACCUGUGUGAAGCUCCUUCAACGAGUCGAGUAGUUUGGGAAUGCUGCUCUAAAUGGGAGGUAAAUCUCUUCUAAAGCUAAAUACCGGCCAGAGACCGAUAGCGCACAAGUAGAGUGAUCGAAAGAUGAAAAGCACCUUGAAAAGGGGGUUAAACAGUACGUGAAAUUGUUGAAAGGGAAGCGCUUGUGACCAGACUUGCGCCGGGCAGCUCAUCAGGGGUUCUCCCCUGUGCACUCUGCCCGGCUCAGGCCAGCAUCGGUUCUCGUGGGAGGAUAAGAACGGUAGGAACGUGGCCCCCCUCCGGGGGGGUGUUAUAGCCUACCGUACGAUACUCCCGUGGGGACCGAGGUUCGCGCUCCGCAAGGAUGCUGGC